rnacentral:misc_RNA from 1 species
UACUAACAAGAAAAGAGUUUAAUAUAUUUAUUUUCAAUAAGAAAACAUAAAGAAAGAAAAUGAAAUGAACUAAAUGAAAAAGUUUGUUCGUUAUUGUUUCAGCUAUUGAAAUGUCUAUGGAAUUUGUUACAAUUUAGAUUCUAAGAUAGGAGAUAUUGGGUAGGGAGUGUAAGAAGGCCAAGACGGACGCGUGCUUGGUGUACACGUGUAUACAGUAUAUAUCUGUGCGUGUGUAUAUGCGAAGGCGAAUACAGAAAGAAUAAAUUAAAAAACAUCCCAUAGGUGGCAUUGCGAAUAUUAUAUUGAUUUGUGUCUGGCUGCAUUUAAUACUUGCAAGCCUAUAUUUUGAUCUGAGCCGUUGUUUUCCUGUUGGAAAUCAAAUCGACUCAUUCAAAUAAAACAUAUAUAUUUAAGUAAGAAUACUUUAAAUUCCUAAUCUGCUUGUUUGACGGGCCACAUUAAACUGGAUAAGCUUUAUUCUUUAUAAACUCUGAUCGAAUGUCUUUCGCCUAUUGAUGUCUUUUAAAGAGGUACAAUUUUUUUUAUCAGUAUGCACUCCCAUCAAUAGUAUUAUAUUUGCAAUUAUUUGACUGUAAUCCACUUAUCUAACUUAAAACAGAAAAGAUUUUAUUGAGUAGGUGUAUAGGAGUAUGAGCGAUAAUAUGAUUUAAAGAACAACUAGAAAAAUUCAGAGAAAAACAGUUCCAUCACUUAGUAUAGUUUAUUAUAUUAAUAUUACGAAUUUUUUCAAAGUACUAAUUGAUAUUCUAUAAUUAUCAGUUAAUGAAAUAAUAGAAGAGAAGAAGUUGAAGAAGGUUCACACUGUAUAUAGUAUAUAUAUUAUUAAUAUAUAGUAUAUAUAUAUAUAUACAUAUAUAUGUAUAUAUGUAUAUAUAUAUAUAAUAAUUAUAUAUGCAUAUAUAUACCUUAAAUACAAUGAACGAAAGAAGAAUAAACUUCGAAAGAACCCUAUCAGAAACAAUUAAAUUACUAUGUAGAGGGGAAUUUCAAAAAGAAGAAAGAUUUACAAUCAAUGGAACCAUAGGUGUCUCUUUGCCAAAUGAUAGAAUAUUUUUAGUUGGAAUUCACGAGGAAAUUAUCAAUAAAAAUGGUAGAAUUCAUGAAGAAAGUCCAACAAAUUUAAAUGAUGAAGCUAUAACGAAGGCUGCUGAUGAAGGGCCUGAUGUUAACAACUUUGAUAUUUUGCCAAUGUUAGUGGAUGAGGAAAAUCAACAAAAGAAACAAGAAGAUUCUUCGUCUUCCAUUAAUUGGGAUGAUGAUAGUGAUAGUCUUUCAUUAAAUUCUUCAAAUGCAUUGAAUCGGAGAGACUCAGAAACAGAUACUGACAGUAAACGAUCAGUUAUUAACUGCUCCAAUGAAGAAACUAGUCCUAACCCGGUUCAACUGCUGACUAUAAAAAAAGAAGCUAAUACAGAAGACUAUCAAUGCACCGAUUGUGGAAAAUGUUUUGAUAAAUCGUCUCUAUUAAAGCGUCAUAAAGUCGUUCACAAUUCUUCAAAGCCAUUUUUGUGUUCAUUUUGCGAUUCGGCAUUUAAAUGGAGAAAUAAUGCUCUAAGGCACGAAAGAAUCGUUCACGGAGAAAAAAAAAAAACAAGGUUUCAAGCUAUCAGUGAAUCAUCCAAUUUUGCUCAGUCAAGUAACACCAACAAGAGUCGAGGAUCUGCUGUAAGAACAUCUUUAGAGAGAAACCGCGUUGGCUUAAAAUUAUCUGAAGCUGCUCUAAAUAAGAGAAAAAGAAUUUGUAAUCCAGAAAGGCCUUUUAUGUGUAACAUUUGUAAAGCCUCAUUUACGUGGAAGAGUAAUUUGUACAGGCAUAAAAGAUUUCAACAUCAUACCGACAGUUCAACCGCUCUCAGCUGUUCAGCGUGUAAUGUUCACUUUGAUCUUAAAGCAAAUUAUGAUAAACAUAUGGAGUCAUGCCGUGGUGGGAAUACACCGGAUGGCUCAAAUGAAAUAAUUUCAGUUCAAGUAAAAAAUGGUGAGAAACCCGAAAAAAGAGAUCGAAAUGAUGUUUCAGCAAGAAAAAGGACGUUUUCAUGCAAAAUUUGUGAACUCAAAUUUGAUUAUAAAGAUGGUCUUGUCUCACAUAUCAUAAGAGAUCAUAAAGCUUUGAAAAAGUUUUCUUAGUACUUUCUUCUAGUUUCAUAUUUAAGAAUGUAUAUCUAUAGACUAAAGUAUAUUGUUUAUGAGUAUAUAUGUACUGAAUAUACACUAGGUGCUGUACAUAUACAUACAUAUAGUAUACAGUAUUUAUAUUUAUGUAAUACUUGUAUAUAAGUUUAUACCACCUUUUUAUUUCUUUUUCUAAAGGAAUAUUGUUGUUUUUCUAUAUUUAAUAAUUAAUUAGUUUUUCCUAUUCGUAUUCACAUUUCUGAUGUUAUUUCAUUUUUUAGUGAAAUUAGAUAUUUAAUUAUUUAUAUUUUUGUUAGAUAAAAGUGAAGAGCUAUCUCGUUCGAUGUUGAACUCUUAGUUUAUUAUAUUCUACACUAUGUUAAGCUACGCCUCAGUCGCCAUCUAACGAAAGAUGUUGUAAAAAUACAAAAUAUUAAGAUUUUUUGUUUUUGCAGUAAUGUCUUUAUAAAAUUUUCUUGCCCGAAAGUGUUUUCAUUCUGUACAUUUAAAGGCAAUUAAAAGAAAUAUACUACCUAUGUGUUAGUAAAUACCUUGCGAGUAAAGGAACCCAUACAAAAAGCGCACUUUAUGAUAAAUAAGCCUAUAGAAAUUGUUAUUUUAUACCUAUUUCUUAUUUUACUAUUGUUUCAUGUACGGCAGUCUCUAAUAUUCUAUCAAGCUAAUUCCUAUUUUUAAUUAGUACUAACAUUCUCUAUAAGG